rnacentral:snRNA from 2 species
GUCUCUUCGGAGACAUCCGAUAAAAUUGGAACGAUACAGAGAAGAUUAGCAUGGCCCCUGCGCAAGAGUGACACGCACAAAUCGAGAAAUGGUCCAAAUUUUU